AGAGUUUGAUCCUGGCUCAGAACGAACGCUGGCGGCAUGCCUAACACAUGCAAGUCGAACGGGAUCCGAGCUUCGGUUCGGUGAGAGUGGCGGACGGGUGAGUAACGCGUGGGAACCUGCCCAGUGGUGGGGGGAUAACUGCGGGAAACUGCAGCUAAUACCGCAUGAGCCCGAGAGGGGAAAGAUUUAUCGCCAUUGGAGGGGCCCGCGUUCGAUUAGGUAGUUGGUGAGGUAACGGCUCACCAAGCCUUCGAUCGAUAGCUGGUCUGAGAGGAUGAUCAGCCACACUGGGACUGAGAUACGGCCCAGACUCCUACGGGAGGCAGCAGUGGGGAAUAUUGGACAAUGGGGGCAACCCUGAUCCAGCAAUGCCGCGUGAGUGAUGAAGGCCUUCGGGUUGUAAAGCUCUUUUGCCAGGGACGAUGAUGACGGUACCUGGAGAAUAAGCCCCGGCUAACUUCGUG
rnacentral:rRNA from 1 species